rnacentral:rRNA from 1 species
AACGAACGCUGGCGGCAGGCCUAACACAUGCAAGUCGAGCGAGAUCUUCGGGUCUAGCGGCGGACGGGUGAGUAACGCGUGGGAAUAUGCCUCUUGGUACGGAAUAGCCUCGGGAAACUGGGAGUAAUACCGUAUGUGCCCUUUGGGGGAAAGAUUUAUCGCCAAGAGAUUAGCCCGCGUUGGAUUAGGUAGUUGGUGGGGUAAUGGCCUACCAAGCCGACGAUCCAUAGCUAGUUUGAGAGGAUGAUCAGCCACACUGGGACUGAGACACGGCCCAGACUCCUACGGGAGGCAGCAGUGGGGAAUCUUAGACAAUGGGGGCAACCCUGAUCUAGCCAUGCCGCGUGAGUGAUGAAGGCCUUAGGGUUGUAAAGCUCUUUCAGCUGGGAAGAUAAUGACGGUACCAGCAGAAGAAGCCCCGGCUAACUCCGUG